GGUAUUGAAAUAAGAUUUUAAAUGAGUGCUAAGAGAAUGAUUAAACAAUUAAAAACUUUCUUUAAUUAAAUAAUUAAAUUUAAUUUUUUUGUGCAAAAGCAAAAAUAAAAUUUAGGGACAAGAAGACCCUAUGAAUUUUUAUUAUUAAUAUUUUGUAAUUAAAUUAUUAAUAAUUUAAUUGGGGUGAUAAAAAAAGAAUAAGUAUCUUUUUAAAUUAUAAAAUAAGUUCCGUUUUUAGCGAUUAAAUGAAAAAAAUACUCUAGGGAUAACAGCGUAAUAAUUUUGGAUAGUUCAUAUAGAUAAAAUAGUUUGCGACCUCGAUGUUGGAUUAGGAUUCUUUUUUGGUGAAGAA
rnacentral:rRNA from 1 species